rnacentral:misc_RNA from 1 species
AACGCACCUUGCGCCCUUUGGUAUUCCGAGGGGCAUGCCUGUUUGAGUGUCAUGUUAAUCUCAAACCCCAGGUCUUCCUUCAGUGGAAGGACUCGGUUUGGUUUGGACUUGGAGGUUACUACUGCUGGCUCUGCUUUUGUGGUCGGCUCCUCUGAAAUGCAUUAGCUGGACUUUGGUUCGCAUUUACGGUGUAAUAGUAACAAAAACUUGUUCGCCGGGUGCUUGCCUAACGAGUCUGCUUCUAAUUGCCCGUUACUGUAACUUGGGCAAGGUCCCUUUCGACCUUCAUGAACACUUUGACCUCAAAUCAGGUAGGACUACCCGCUGAACUUAA